UACGGAGGGUGCGAGCGUUGUCCGGAAUCAUUGGGCGUAAAGGGCGCGUAGGUGGCCCGGUCAGUUCGUGGUGAAAGCGCGGGGCUCAACCCUGCGUCGGCCAUGAAUACUGCCGCGGCUGGAGCACUGUAGAGGCAGGCGGAAUCCGGGUGUAGCGGUGGAAUGCGUAGAGAGUCCGGAAGAACACCGGUGGCGAAGGCGGGUCUCUGGGCGAUUUCCUGGACGCUGAGGCGCGAAAGCGUGGGGAGCAAACGGG
rnacentral:rRNA from 1 species